UUUUUGUGUACACAACUGCAAUACAUUUUGUAUAGUUGUCUCAAUAUUGUUGUACAUUAUAGCGGCCGUUAUUGUAAUUAAUAACUGUGUUCCAUAAUAUUUUACUCUCUCUGUCAUUUUUUAUAACAGACCAUUAAUUGCAGUUAAUUAUUUUGUCCAUUGCGGUAUUUUAGGAUGACGACGACGCUUAUAUCUAAAUACUCUGUGUACGCUCAGUAAUAUAUGCAUGUAAUAUAAGCCUAUUUAAUUAUUUUACUAUACAAUGACAUAUAUAUAUAUAUUAUUGACAAAGCAUCACUAUCAACUGAACUCCGCUCACAAUGGUUUAUCGUUGCUUGCACGUAUACAUUAAAUUACCUAUAAUCAGCGGCUGCACCCGUCCCUAUUAUCCUGCGUAUUAUGUCUUUUUCUAAAUGAAAAAAAUUCAAUAAUUCAUUGUUAAUGUCCUUGAAAGUUUGAGCCCCCGCAAAUAACGCACUCUGGACCCGUGUAGUUCCGAGUUUCAGUAGUGACAUCCUUUAUCACGCUAAGCCAUGUCCCCUUGUGUGUUUGACGCGACACCAAAAUCUGUCAGUUUUUUAACGGCCACUAACCAAAAGGAAAUUCGCCGGUUCGAGAUCGGAAUGUACACAAAUAAAAAUUAACUUU